rnacentral:rRNA from 1 species
CCAAUAGCGUAUAUUAAAGUUGUUGCAGUUAAAAAGCUCGUAGUUGAAUUUCGGGAUUGACGUGAUGGUCAUGCCUUAAGGGGUAUGAACUGUCACUGUUGAUUUCUCACCUUCUGGAGAAACUUGAUGUCCUUUAUUGGGUGUCUUGCGGAUCCAGGACCUUUACCUUGAAAAAAUUAGAGUGUUUAAAGCAGGCAUUUUUGCUCGAAUACAUUAGCAUGGAAUAAUAGAAUAGGACGGCAUGGUUCUAUUUUGUUGGUUUCUAGGAUCACCGUAAUGAUUAAUAGGGAUAGUUGGGGGCAUUAGUAUUCAAUUGUCAGAGGUGAAAUUCUUGGAUUUAUUGAAGACUAACUACUGCGAAAGCAUUUGCCAAGGAUGUUUUCAUUAAUCAAGAACGAAAGUUAGGGGAUCGAAGACGAUCAGAUACCGUCGUAGUCUUAACCGUAAACUAUGCCGACUAGGAAUCAGACGAUGUUAAUUUUUUAAUGACUCGUUUGGCACCUUACG